AUAGCUUGCUAUCAGGCGUCGAGCGGCGGACGGGUGAGUAAUACUUAGGAAUCUACCUAGUAGUGGGGGAUAGCACGGGGAAACUCGUAUUAAUACCGCAUACGACCUACGGGAGAAAGGGGGCAGUUUACUGCUCUCGCUAUUAGAUGAGCCUAAGUCGGAUUAGCUAGAUGGUGGGGUAAAGGCCUACCAUGGCGACGAUCUGUAGCUGGUCUGAGAGGAUGAUCAGCCACACCGGGACUGAGACACGGCCCGGACUCCUACGGGAGGCAGCAGUGGGGAAUAUUGGACAAUGGGGGAAACCCUGAUCCAGCCAUGCCGCGUGUGUGAAGAAGGCCUUUUGGUUGUAAAGCACUUUAAGCAGUGAAGAAGACUCUUCGGUUAAUACCCGGAGACGAUGACAUUAGCUGCAGAAUAAGCACCGGCUAACUCUGUGCCAGCAGCCGCGGUAAUACAGAGGGUGCAAGCGUUAAUCGGAAUUACUGGGCGUAAAGGGAGCGUAGGUGGCUCUAUAAGUCAGAUGUGAAAUCCCCGGGCUUAACCUGGGAACUGCAUCUGAAACUGUAGAGCUAGAGUAUGUGAGAGGGAGGUAGAAUUUCAGGUGUAGCGGUGAAAUGCGUAGAGAUCUGAAGGAAUACCGAUGGCGAAGGCAGCCUCCUGGCAUAAUACUGACACUGAGGCUCGAAAGCGUGGGUAGCAAACAGGAUUAGAUACCCUGGUAGUCCACGCCGUAAACGAUGUCUACUAGUCGUUGGGUCCCUUGAGGACUUAGUGACGCAGCUAACGCAAUAAGUAGACCGCCUGGGGAGUACGGCCGCAAGGUUAAAACUCAAAUGAAUUGACGGGGGCCCGCACAAGCGGUGGAGCAUGUGGUUUAAUUCGAUGCAACGCGAAGAACCUUACCUGGUCUUGACAUAUCUAGAAUCCUGCAGAGAUGCGGGAGUGCCUUCGGGAAUUAGAAUACAGGUGCUGCAUG
rnacentral:rRNA from 1 species